AUGCUCUCAGCGUAUCAUGAUCAGGGACUCCUCCAAUGACACACCUGCUCCAAAACCUAAACAGCAACCCUUGAUCUCUUUCGAUAGGAGAGGCUUACACUUACCUACAUGUCAAAGUAGCAGCAGUCUUAUAAAUACCUUUUUUAAGUGACGUUUAAAUAAGUUUAAUGGCCUUUUAAAUGACUCACCUGGUGCUAUAAACUUGUAGACUUGAAGACAGCGGAAAAUGGAUAAUCUUGAUAACUUCCCAGCUGCAACGAGACUAUCCCCGAUCACUUCAUCUGCGUUGUCUUGUCUCUUCCCUCAUUAAAACGUGUCCUGGGAGCGCUGCUCAGACUCAAAUGUGCAUCCCUAUUGGCAGUAUGGAAAGGUUUCUGUGGCGCGGAGCGACUGCACUUUAAAUAGCUAAUCCCCGGAGCAUGAGAGGUCAGAGGUCACCAUCGACUGUAUGACGUCAUCACUGGUGCUGGUUUGGAGUUUCAGGAUUUGUUCACCUACAUCUUUGCUGUCGCGGCAGUCCCCACAGAUGCAUCCCAAGCAGCCGUUGACCACCUGGAUGCCGCAGAGUGCCAGCUGCACCACUCCCAUGGCCAGCAGUAUGGAGAACAGAACGACGUGCCACAUCACUGCGUUGUCAGGGUAAAUACAGAUUGUCCACAGAGUCUGGUUUACAAGGUAGCUGCCAUUACCACUGUGAGGGAGAAGAGCAGUAGAAAUAAUCACUGUCCAAGAUACACACCACAGAAUGAUUGAAAAGAUGUGUGAAGUUCAGGGUGCGGGAAGAAAAAGUCAAAAAAGAUGACUGAGUUGAGGAAAGAUGUGUCAGUAAGAAGGUGAAAGGAACAAGUGAGGAGUGGAGAAUAAAAGCACAUGGAAAAUAGGAAGCAGAGGGAGCUCUUGAUGUUGUUAUGGAGAAAGGGACAUUUAGCUGUUUCAAAAUGAAUAAAGGUGAUUCAUUCAGGUUCA